rnacentral:lncRNA from 1 species
AUGUGUUGGCGAUACCCCAUGGUCCGUAGAAUCAAGGUCAAUGUCGGCGAUACCACACAGCCGCGGUCCAAGUACGAGUUGGAAACACGAAUACCGGUGUCAUACCGGCGCCCGUGUCAGCGAUACCACGCUGCUGUGGCCCAAGUACGAGUUGGAAGCAGUGACCCGAUUCAGAACUAUGGCCUAGGUACGAGCUAGGAGCACACCCUUUGUCGUUACCCGCUGGUCAUCUGCGUAGUGCUACGGCCCGCCACUUCAUUGGUACAACGAAGCAGUUUCCCGUUACCACUAAAGGUCUCCCUCUAGCAGCCGACCAUGUCUUGCAGAAGCUAAUACUCGUACAAUCCGCCUGGCAUCAUACUCGUAUGUUUGACUCCUACUAACCUAGCCCAGUUCCCACCGUAUGCCUUGAUACUUGGAAAGCGGUGCGCUGUGUCUGAUCGGAUUGGUACAUGGUUCGGUCUCAGUGUGGGCCUUGCCCUUAACACAUCCGGCAACCACGUCUCCGCCAGCCUUAACAACUUCCAUUACUCUCCAAGAGCACUUAGGUUUCGUUCCCGCCCUCGUUGAGACAGCUUUAUUAGUGUCUGCAUA